ACACUGCUGAACAGUCCGACAUAGGACGAAACAGCUGUCCAGUAC
rnacentral:hammerhead_ribozyme from 1 species